GUAAGAUAGUGGCGGACGGGUGAGUAACGCGUAGGUGACCUACCUUAAGGCGGGGGACAACUCCGAGAAAUCGGGGCUAAUACCGCGUAUGCUCUCGAUUCAAAUUGAGAGUGAAAGUCUUUCGGGACGCCUUUUGAGGGGCCUGCGUUCGAUUAGCUUGUUGGUGGGGUAAUGGCCUACCAAGGCGAAGAUCGAUAGCUGGUCUGAGAGGAUGAUCAGCCACACUGGGACUGAGAUACGGCCCAGACUCC
rnacentral:rRNA from 1 species